rnacentral:rRNA from 1 species
ACACGACCGUACCGCAAACCGACACUGGUGCGCGAGAUGAGUAUUCUAAGGCGCUUGAGAGAACUCAGGAGAAGGAACUCGGCAAAUUAACACCGUAACUUCGGAAGAAGGUGUGCCUUUAGUAGGUGAAGUCCCUUGCGGAUGGAGCCCAACGGGGUUGCAAAAAAUCGGUGGCUGCGACUGUUUAUUAAAAACACAGCACUCUGCAAACACGAAAGUGGACGUAUAGGGUGUGACGCCUGCCCGGUGCUGGAAGAUUAAAUGAUGGGGUGCAAGCUCUUGAUUGAAGUCCCAGUAAACGGCGGCCGUAACAAUAACGGUCCUAAGGUAGCGAAAUUCCUUGUCGGGUAAGUUCCGACCUGCACGAAUGGCGUAACGAUGGCCACACUGUCUCCUCCUGAGACUCAGCGAAGUUGAAAUGUUUGUGAUGAUGCAAUCUCCCCGCGGAAAGACGGAGAGACCCCACGAACCUUUACUGUAGCUUUGUAUUGGACUUUGAACAGAUCUGUGUAGGAUAGGUGGGAGGCUUUGAAGCAGGGUCGCUAGAUCUUGUGGAGCCAACGUUGAAAUACCACCCUGGUGUGUUUGAGGUUCUAACCUAGGUCCAUUAUCUGGAUCGGGGACAGUGCAUGGUAGGCAGUUUGACUGGGGCGGUCUCCUCCCAAAGCGUAACGGAGGAGUUCGAAGGUACGCUAGUUACGGUCGGACAUCGUGAUGAUAGUGCAAUGGCAUAAGCGUGCUUAACUGCGAGACUGACAAGUCGAGCAGAUGCGAAAGCAGGACAUAGUGAUCCGGUGGUUCUGUAUGGAAGGGCCAUCGCUCAACGGAUAAAAGGUACUCUGGGGAUAACAGGCUGAUACCGCCCAAGAGUUCAUAUCGACGGCGGUGUUUGGCACCUCGAUGUCGGCUCAUCUCAUCCUGGGGCUGUAGCCGGUCCCAAGGGUAUGGCUGUUCGCCAUUUAAAGAGGUACGUGAGCUGGGUUUAAAACGUCGUGAGACAGUUUGGUCCCUAUCUUCCGUGGGCGCUGCAGAUUUGAGGAAGCCUGCUCCUAGUACGAGAGGACCGGAGUGGACACACCUCUGGUGUAUCGGUUGUCACGCCAGUGGCAUUGCCGAGUAGCUAAGUGUGGAAGAGAUAACCGCUGAAAGCAUCUAAGCGGGAAACUCGUUUCAAGAUGAGAUCUGCCGGGGCCUUGAGCCCCCUAAAGAGUCGUUCAAGACCAGGACGUUGAUGGGUCAGGUGUGGAAGC